GACGAACGCUGGCGGCGUGCUUAACACAUGCAAGUCGAACGGAAAGGCCCUGCUUUUGUGGGGUGCUCGAGUGGCGAACGGGUGAGUAACACGUGAGUAACCUGCCCUUGACUUUGGGAUAACUUCAGGAAACUGGGGCUAAUACCGGAUAGGAGCUCCUGCUGCAUGGUGGGGGUUGGAAAGUUUCGGCGGUUGGGGAUGGACUCGCGGCUUAUCAGCUUGUUGGUGGGGUAGUGGCUUACCAAGGCUUUGACGGGUAGCCGGCCUGAGAGGGUGACCGGCCACAUGGGGACUGAGAUCCGGCCCAGACUCCUACGGGAGGCAGCAGUGGGGAUUAUUGCACAAUGGGCGGAAGCCUGAUGCAGAAACGCCGCGUGCGGAAUGACGGCCUUCGGGUUGUAAACCGCUUUCGCCUGUGACGAAGCGUGAGUGACGGUAAUGGUAAAGAAGCACCGGCUAACUACGUG
rnacentral:rRNA from 1 species